rnacentral:rRNA from 1 species
AUGGCAAGCCCUAGCCGCCUCCUCCCCACACUCACACCCCCCCACCCCCGCCCACGCGUCCUCGCAGGAAACUCUGUGUGUGCGCAUCACGUUAUAGUUCAGUUUUGGAUGACUCAAACUGGAGCAAAUUGUGUGUGUAUGUAUCCAUUGUAUGCACACAUCAUGUGUUUUCCUAACUGGACAAAAGGGCUCGCUCUGCACUGCAUUGGUGAAUCUGUUGCAUCGGUUGCCAAGUCUGCUCAGGCUAGCAGCAUUGCUAUUGUUCUUGCAACCCCCGCUGGGAUCCAGGAAGGGUUCAAGCUUUGUUCUUGCAAUCACUUCUGCAGAUUCAAGGCUGAGUUGAAGAAGGUGCGCCUUAAAACAGUAGAUCUUAUUGGACUGGGUUCUGGUUCAGAGCUGGACCAUAAACUUAAGUAUGUGAAUGAUCUUUCCUCAGGCGUGAUUUUCAAGAAAGAGCUUGUCAACGCACCUACCAAUGUUCUCACCCCUGGUGUGCUUGCGGAGAAGGCAUCAAAGAUUGCUUCUGAAUACAGUGAUGUAUUCGCGACCACAAUAUUAGAUGUAGAGAAAUGUCGGGAGCUAAAGAUGGGCUCCUACUUGGGAGUUUCUGUAGCUUCUGCAAAUUCCCCUCACUUCAUCCAUUUGUGCUACAAACCCGUUGGUGACAAUGUCAAGAGAAAAAUGGUUGUUGUUGGGAAGGGUCUAACCUUUGACAGACUGGACCAGGCUGCAAUAUUGGUGAAGUUUGACAUGGGAGGCUCCGCAGCAGUAUUUGGUGCAGAAAAAGCUUUGGCCCAAAUCAAGCCUCCUGGAGUAGAGGUUCACUUUAUUGUUGCCGCCUGUGAGAAUAUGAUUCGUGGCACAGGAAUGAGACCUGGUGACAUUUUGACAGCUUCUAACGGGAAGACAAUUGAGGUAAAUAACACUGACGCUGAAGGGAGGCUUACGCUUGCUGAUGCUUUGGUCUAUGCUUGUAAUCAAGGUGUUGACAAGGUAAUAAAUUGCUUCUUUAGACAUCAUAUUCUGCUCAUACUUGAUCUAAACACUUCUGUAUUUCUUUAUAGAGGGAGUACUAACCUGGGCAUUAUCUGCUUGACCACAUCGUUGGGUCUGGCACCCUCAUUUUUUUGGUCGGCGUCCUACCUGGCAAUGAUGGAAACAGAGGUGGCACGACUCCGUGAUAUGGAUAUAAGUAUGAUAGUGUUUGAUAUGGUGGUGCUACAUAUUUCAUUUCUUGGAUCGUUGUGUCUUGCAUGUGGUAUCUUUCUGCAACUGAAUUCAUGGUGCUGCUAG